GACAGAGGAGCCAAGCGUUGUCCGGAUUGACUGGGCGUAAAGCGCACGCAGGCGGUUGCGCGCGUGGGGUGUGAAAGCUGGUGGCUUAACUGCCAGAUGCCAUCCCAUACGGCGCGACUCGAGCCCGUGAGAGGUCCACGGAAUUGCCGGUGUAGUGGUGAAAUGCGUAGAGAUUGGAAAGAACACCGAUGGCGAAGGCACUUUACUGGGCUAUUACUAACACUCAGAGACGAAAGCUAGGGUAGCAAAUGGG
rnacentral:rRNA from 1 species